CCAGAGCAGAGAUUGACAGCUCUGCAUAUUCAGGCUCGCAGGGUGCUAGAGUCACUUGACCUUUACUGAAUGCAAUAUAUCAGAAACAUUUCUCAAAACCUCCUUGCAGGGGGAAGAGUUUAUUAGUCAGUACAUACGCCGUAAGAGAAGUAUAAUACAAAAUGUAGAAAGUCAUCGUACAAAACAAUUUCAGGUACCUUUUUCAUGCCAAGGGUUAAAGAUCAAAGAUGCUUCCUCAAAAGAGUUCAUGAUCCACAUACAAGGCAAGGAUGGCAACCCAGGAAUCCAGAUUCCUCUUCUAUAUUUUCUGGAACAAGAAGUCAGAGUCCGCCUAACAGCUGCACCCCCGUACAUUUGGAGCAAACUUUAUUCCCACUAAGUCAUCGCCACGAAACCCAGUUUUCAGAGCCUUACUGUGAAUCUGCUUCCCUGAGUCUGGCAUUUGCAGGAGUCAAGGGUAGAAGCGUAUAGAAUCAAGAAUAGAAGUUGAGAUAGUUUUGUUCCGUCGUUGGGUUUGGUCCUCGGAGUGGGCUCUCGUUUGAAUACAUUUAAAAAUAAGAUAUGCAUGUGAGCAUGAGCUCUAAAUUGAGCAUGUAGGAGCUCUAGCAUUGAGAUAAUUUUGAAUGAAAUUUGGAUUGAUUUAAAAUCAGACUCAAAGCUAUGCUCAAUAGUCAAUAGAAAUCGUUCUUCAUCAAAUUUAUAUCAAUAGUUUGAGCCUA